CAUUGAGCUAAGAGCUAGGACUUGCUUCUGGGUCCACUGCAGGGCAGCACAUGGCACUGUGGGGUUGGGGGGUAGCAUGAGGGAGGGAGGCCAGUGCAGUGUGGCAGCUCAGGUGUGCACCUGCUGGAAGCCACAAGCUCGGAGAUGGUGCAGGAGGUGGCAGGGAACAAAUGAGCCAAAAUGCUUCCACAGGUGGGGUGUCCACAUGUCUGUGACAGGAGCCCUGAGCUAUUCUCAGCCCCACUAAGGACUCUGAAGAGGAGAAUUUGGGACACA
rnacentral:lncRNA from 1 species